CGGAGGGCGUGAGGUGGGUCGCAUGUGAUCACUCCUCUUUUUUUGUUUUAAAAAAUAUAUAUUAUCAGAUAGUUUUAACUCAAAAAAAUUUGAUUCCAUUCCCUCCAUAUCAAUCAUGCCGCGACCACCAUGAAUUUUCAGUGAAGUCCCCAGAUUUUUGUUCCUUUUGUUAUCGUUGCCAAUGCGUCUGCAUCGUAAUUAAUUCCGCCCCCAUCGCUUUCGUUCCACCUUUGAAUAUUUCCCGCAUGUACCGACAAUUGUAAAAUAUAUGAUCUAUUGAUUUUGGCUUAUCUCCACAUAAAAUGCACUCCUCAUCCACCAUCGCUCCUCUCCUCUCCUCGCCGAUCUAUCGUGAGUUGGUAAUUUUCGCAAUCGGACUCUCCACAGCUUUGGAAUUUUCGUCGCCCAUAUCCCCUUCGCUUUCUCGUCAAUCUCCUCUCUCCUCCUUGUCGAAGAUCGGACUAGCGGUUUGUUGAUAAAGUGACUAGUUCCGGCCAUUGAGAGGAAUGAGAGGUAGAGAACAACACAAAGUAUUUUGGCAAACAAUCG
rnacentral:lncRNA from 1 species